rnacentral:misc_RNA from 1 species
UGUUAUUUUAGUGGGUUUCAGGAGAUCUGUCACACCCGCAGUCGGUAAGGUAACCGUGAGGGCCAGCCGCCUAGGUGGGAUAGACGAUUGGGGUGAAGUCGUCACAAGGUAGCCGUAUCGGAAGGUGCGGCUGGAUCACCUCCUUUCUAAGGAUAAGGAACUGCGCUUUGGUCUUGUUUAGUCUUGAGAGGUCUUGUGGUGCCUUAGCUCAGCUGGGAGAGCGCCUCUUUCACGCGGGAGGUCAGCCGUUCGAUCCCGCUAGUUCAAGUGGUGAGAGACACCCAGUGUGCACAUCGAAAAUUGCAUUUGUGUAUAAAAUAGUAACAAGAAAAUCAACCGAAAACGCUGUAGUAUUUAUAAGAGUUUAUGACUAAAAGGUCACAAAAUGAGGUUAAGUUAAGCAGGGCGCACGGUGCAUUCUUUGGCCGCUGGAGCCGACGAAGGUCUUUACAGACGACGAUGUUCCUAGGUUGCUGUGAGUGAGCGAUGGGUGCGUGUAUUGUCAAGUGACGUAACACACAGCCCCGGAAAUUUUUUCACAGCCCCGGAAACUUAUUCACAGGCCCGGGAAUGUUAUCCACAGGCCCGGAAAUUUUUUUCACAUGCCCGGUAAUUUAUUUCCGAGGUGUGGUGUGAAGUGGAA